AGAACUGGGUGUGUACUGGCUGCAUGUCAGUCAUUAUACAUUAAGUUUGUGAUGUCUGAUACAUUUUUUUAGGAAUGCUUAUGUGGUGCGGAGUGGCUGCCAGAGUAUGGCCUGCUGUGAUUGACUUUGGCGGUCUGACAACAAAUACACGCUUCUAUCAUGCAUCAGCUCAUAAGUCAACGCCACCGUGAGGGAGGAGUUCCCAUCUGGGCCCCACUCUGCCCGCCACCUCAACGAUGACAAAUGUGCCGCCCCGCAGUGGAAAUAUUGAGAGUUACCAGGACAUUUAUCAGGCGUGUGGCGCGUUCACUGGAUGAGGCCUGUGAACUGCUGGGCACGUGGACAGUGUUGCAGGCCGUAAGCACAUGGCCUGUUUUUCUUUUCCUGUUGUGCGGCAUUACUUGUACAAAUUGAGUGAAAGGUUUACUGGGUUUUUUUUAUGCCAGUAAAACUCGAGGCAACAUCAACAUGCCUGCAGGCCAGAAGGUAUCUCAAGAAACCUCCAGUGACAACACCUAUGUCUGAAUGUGCCUGUGGGCUUGGAAUAUAUAUAUCUGUGCAAUAUGGAAACUGAAUUUUGAUGCUUCCGCAACCCAGUGUGAAUCACUGUCUGUCUGUAUGAUGCAAAAUGUAGGAAGCUUGUUUGUUUUUAAUAAAGCAGAUGACAUCAGCGUGAA